rnacentral:rRNA from 1 species
UACGUAGGGGGCAAGCGUUGUCCGGAUUUAUUGGGCGUAAAGAGCGUGUAGGCGGCCAGGUAGGUCUGCUGUGAAAACUCGAGGCUCAACCUCGAGAUGUCGGCUGAAACCAUCUGGCUAGAGUCCGGAAGAGGAGAAUGGAAUUCCCGGUGUAGCGGUGAAAUGCGUAGAUAUCUGGAGGAACACCGGUGGCGAAGGCGACAUCCUGGACCGGUAUUGACGCUGAGGCGCGAAAGCCAGGGGAGCAAACGGG